AUCAAAAAAAAAAAAAAAAAAGUUGAGCAUGCAAAGAAAUAGAAAAAUGUAAUCCAUACUUAAUGAGGGGAAAAAGGCCCUGAAAACAAUCAGUAGAAUCUGACCUGAGUGGAUACAGAAUGAUUAGGAGACAGGACUUUAAAAUAACUGUCAUUGCUGUGGCUAGGAGAAAAAUAAAAUAAAAAUAAAACAACUAUCAUAAAUGUUUGAAGAGUGAAAAGAAGCUAUGUUCAAAGAAUUCAAUGAAAAUAUGAUGACAAUGACUCUAAAAAGGGAAUUUCAGUAGAGAAAAAGAAACUUUGAAGAGGCACAAAAUGGAAAGCCUAGAGUUGAAAAGUACAAUAAACAAAGUGAAAAAAUCACUAGAUGAGCCCAAAGCAGAUGUGAGGCAGCAGAAGAAAAAAAGAAUCAAUGCAUUUGAAGAUAGAGCAAUGAAAGUAUCCAAUCUGAAAAACAGAGAAAAAAGAAGAAAAAUGAACAGAGACCAGAGAUCUAGCAACCUGAAGCAGCAUGGCCAAGCCUUGUGGGGAGUGCCUGAGCAGGAGGCCCACAAACAGGUGGAAGUCUUCAGGCAGAAUCUUUUCCAGGAGGCUGAGGAAUUCCUCUACAGAUUCUUGCCACAGAAUAUCAUAUACCUGAAUCAGCUCUUCAAGAAGACUCCCUCAGUGUGGCUGACCUGACUUCCCUCCAGGCCCCACUGGACAUCCCCAUCCCAGAUCCUCCACCCAAGGAUGACGAGAUGGAAACAGAUAAGCAGGAGAAGAAAGAAGUCCCUACAUGUAGAUUUUUCCCUGGGAAUGAGAAGGUCCUGUCCCUGCUUGCCCUGGUUAAGCCAGAGGUCUGGAAUCUCAAAGAGAAAUGCAUUCUGGUGAUCACAUGGAUCCAGCGCCUGGUCCCCAAGAUUGAAGAUAGAAAUGAUUUUGGGGUAGCAAUCCAGGAGAAGGUGCUAGAGAGGGUGAAUGCUGUCAAGACCAAAGUGGAAGCUUUCCAGACAACCAUUUCCAAGUACUUCUCAGAAGGUGGGGAUGCUGUGGCCAAGGCCUCCAGGAGACUCCUGUGAUGGAUUACCAGGCCUUGGUGCACGCGCGCGAUGAGGCAGCAUAUGGGGAGCUCAGGGCCGUGGUGCUGGACCUGAGGGCCUUCUAUGCUGAGCUUUAUCAUAUCAUCAGCAGCAACCUGGAGGAAACUGUCAACCCAAAGGGUGAAGAGAAGCCAUCUAUGUACUGAACCCAGGGCUAGAAGGAAAAUAAAUGACCUAAAUG